rnacentral:rRNA from 1 species
AGUCGACGAGAGCCUUCGGGUCUCUAGUGGCGAACGGGUGAGUAACACGUAGGGAACCUGCCCGCGCACCGGGAAUACGCUCUGGAAACGGAGAACAAAUCCCGAUGUACAGGAAGGAGGCAUCUUCUUUCUGUGAAACAUCCUUUCGGGGAUGGGGCGCGGAUGGACCUGCGGUGCAUUAGUUUGUUGGCGGGGUAAAGGCCCACCAAGACGAUGAUGCAUAGCCGGCCUGAGAGGGCGGACGGCCACAUUGGGACUGAGACACGGCCCAGACUCCUGCGGGAGGCAGCAGUAGGGAAUUUUCGUCAAUGGGCGCAAGCCUGAACGAGCGAUGCCGCGUGAGUGAAGAAGGCCUUCGGGUCGUAAAGCUCUGUUGCGGGGGAAAAAGGCAGCAUCAGGAAAUGGGUGCUGACUGAUGGUGCCCCGCCAGAAAGUCACGGCUAACUACGUGCCAGCAGCCGCGGUAAUACGUAGGUGGCGAGCGUUAUCCGGAAUGAUUGGGCGUAAAGGGUGCGCAGGCGGUCCUGCAAGUCUGGAGUGAAACGCAUGAGCUCAACUCAUGCAUGGCUUUGGAAACUGGAGGACUGGAGAGCAGGAGAGGGCGGUGGAACUCCAUGUGUAGCGGUAAAAUGCGUAGAUAUAUGGAAGAACACCAGUGGCGAAGGCGGCCGCCUGGCCUGUUGCUGACGCUGAGGCACGAAAGCGUGGGGAGCAAAUAGGAUUAGAUACCCCUAGUAGUCCACGCC